GCGGCUGAAUGGAGACCUCAGUGGCUCUGUGAUGAGAAGGGGGAGAAAGAAGAAAAAGAAAGACACAGGGAGAAGAGACACAGCAGAGGAGCUCAGACGAAAUAAAUGUGCAGAGUGAAACGUGUGCAAUAAUGGAAGAGAAGCAAUGACAGAGAGCGACAGAGAAAAAGCAGAUUAAGAUGAGAGAGAGGGAGAGAAACAAGGGGAAUGACUGUAUAGAAUGCAGAGCAGGUAGAUGACAGAGUGGAUUACUGCAGCAGGAAUGCAGCAGUGGCUGCAGGAAGAGGGGAGAGAAAGAGGGAGAAGAGGAGAUGUAGCAGAAGGUAAAAUGAUGAUGUGUUUCAGAGGAGAUGUGCGUCCCCGUGGGAUGAUGCGGUACUUACAGAUCGUCUCGCUCUAACUAAGAGCAGCGUGUGACUGCAGAUUGCAAAAGUACAUCAAGGAAAAAAACAAAAACAAAAAAAAAAAAAAAAAAGACUACUUCUCCUACCACUUUAUAUAAGAGACUGUAAAGCAGUUUCCCUUUAUUUAACCUAGGCUGAACUAAGGAAGGGUGGCAAGUGAUGUACUCAAAUACUGUUUGAUCAUGUAAGUACCUUCUGACAGACACAGAGCACUUGCCUUUUACUUGAUCCUGCCACUCUCAACCCCUUUCCAUGAGUCUAUUUGUUCUUUCACAUCUUUACUCCGGAGGAAGGAGAUAAUCCAGCAGCUCUGCGCUCAGCCAUGUCAUGUUCGACUGAGGAAAGCAGCCGUAUAACACGGGUUUUGCUGAAUCAUCUGACAUUCUCACGAUUCAUGACAUUACAGCACUGCCGUAAACCAAAUGUGUAAUUCUGCUGAGCAUAACAAAACGAGAGUGUGUGAUUAAUGAAAUUGAUUAUAAUUGAAACGUAUGACUUCACUGAUCAGAUUUGACACAUUUUUUAUGGUCCCAAAGAAAUUAUAAACAACCCAUGUUUGUCUGCUUUUGUGUGUGCUGUUGAGUUGCGUAUUUGUGUGCGUGUGUGUGAAGGAAGUUCAGAUGGUUAGCCAGCCCAUAACCAAGGAAAACUAAAAACAGCUGUCUCCUGCUCAUCCAUCACACCCACUUGCUUCCCUUUAUACACACAGGUUGUGGAGAAUUCAUCAUUCUACUCAGCAGAAUUAAGUGAAACAGUGUGAGGUGGAACUUCCUUCAGAAUGCGUGUUGGUGACUUACCUAUCAGACACCUGAGGGCUCUACUACAAAGAAGUUUUAGGGGGUUAGCAAGGUAACACCGUUUUUAGUGUCAGUUCACCCUAAAAUAGUGAAUUCAUUCCUUCGAUGGCCCAUGGACCUCACUGUGCAUGUAGUAAUAGGGUCUAGAUGUCUUUUUUGGCUUUCGCUGAGGAGCAUUAAUAAAGAAAUACAUUUUUAGGAGCCAUCUCUGUGAUUUUUUUCUUCCCUCCAUUUGCAGCAAGUAAUCGUAAAACAAGUGCCUAUAUUGUUCUAUAAGCAGUAAUAUAGUGUUAUCAUCUGUAAACAGUUAUCCAGAUAAGUAAAGCCAGAUAAGGAAAAGAUAGCCUUGGGAUACUAAACUUGGUUCCUAAUACAAACCCCAGUUCAGUUGUUUUUCUUUCCCUUAAAUCAAGUUUAAUUUGCAUGAAAAGAAACACAUUUUUAGGAGCAUCUUUACUCCUUGAUUUUUGAAUUGUUUGCUGCAAAUAAUGUUAAAACAACUUCUUAUAUUGUUCUUUAAGCUGUAAUAUAUUGUUAUGAUCUUAAACAGUGGGAUUAUCAACGUAUCUGGAGUAAAGCCCGAUAGGGAAAAGAUAUUCUUUGUGUACUGAACUUGCUUCCUAAUAGUUUUCCCCCUUCCUUACAUCAUGUGUCAUUUACACAAGUUUAAACUGACUUUUUACUUUUUAAUGGAUCAGGAAAAUGUCUUAUAAAUGUCUGACUUGUAUUAAAAAAAAAAAAAAAAAAAAAAAAAGUACACCUAGCUCUACUGCAAUGCAGUAAAUGCAGUCUACUGCAAAAAUCCCUGCAAUAAACUCAGCUUUCGUGCAGCCACUGAAAUUUAUGGCAUUAUGGAAACUUGCUUUUAUGGGAUGGACAAAAUAUUAGAAAAAUCUCUCAGUUAAACAAGACACAAUUCAGCAGCACCGUAAGCACGAGCCUCUAAAAUGACUAAUGUUGAGCACACAGAAACGCCACUAAAGUGGAAAGUGAGGAUACAUUUGUAUUAAAUUAGUUUUAAUGUUACCUUAUCUGCUUUUUCAGACCAAGAUUAUUUAUUUUCCCUCAUACUAUAAUAGUAAAAGCAUGUAUUUAGUUUUCAUUACAUGCACAGUGUGUUAACACAGCAUUAACUAUGUGAAACAGGGCAGAAAUCCCUGUUAAGGGGUUUUCCUCCAAUAAAUUCCUCAUAAACACACAAUGUGUCAUUUACUGUGCCUUUAUCAUCCUUUUAUGAUUUAUGCAGUAUCUCUUGAUAUUUUUUUCAGAACUUCGGCUUUCAC
ensembl:lncRNA